CCUGCGGAGGGAUCAUUACCGAGUUUACAACUCCCAAACCCCUGUGAACAUACCAAUUGUUGCCUCGGCGGAUCAGCCCGCUCCCGGUAAAACGGGACGGCCCGCCAGAGGACCCCUAAACUCUGUUUCUAUAUGUAACUUCUGAGUAAAACCAUAAAUAAAUCAAAACUUUCAACAACGGAUCUCUUGGUUCUGGCAUCGAUGAAGAACGCAGCAAAAUGCGAUAAGUAAUGUGAAUUGCAGAAUUCAGUGAAUCAUCGAAUCUUUGAACGCACAUUGCGCCCGCCAGUAUUCUGGCGGGCAUGCCUGUUCGAGCGUCAUUUCAACCCUCAAGCCCAGCUUGGUGUUGGGACUCGCGAGUCAAAUCGCGUUCCCCAAAUUGAUUGGCGGUCACGUCGAGCUUCCAUAGCGUAGUAGUAAAACCCUCGUUACUGGUAAUCGUCGCGGCCACGCCGUUAAACCCCAACUUCUGAAUGUGACCUCGGAUCAGGUAGAAUCUC
rnacentral:rRNA from 1 species